rnacentral:piRNA from 2 species
CAGAAGCUUAUUUUGGCUUAUGGUUGU